ensembl:lncRNA
GGAACCACAAGAGGUGCAGUGCAACUUCUUUCUCAAAAACAAAUAAGCAGCACAACACAACACAACCUCCCUAUGGGGAAGCCUUGAAAUGGAUUAUCUGUCUUUAAACACCCACACUCCUUCCUCUAUUUCUUUCUUCACUUCUCGACAUCUCCUGUUCUGUGAUCCAAAUUAUAAAUCUCAACUGGAGGGUGGAAGAUAAAAGUUCCCACAGGAAAACAGCUUUUAUGUAAAGUAAUGAACUGAAUGUGGUUCUAGAAACAAGCUGGCUCUAAAUAUCAACAUAGCAUACAGUUUCACACACAUGUAGUAUGCAGAAAUGCAGUUAAUUAGUUAUGUUUCACCUUUAUUGCCAUGGCAACUGUGAAAAAUGUGCUAAAUUGUAUUUUUUUUUUUUUUUUUUUUUGGUGUGUGUGUUUAUCUUUGCAAAGUUGCAAAGAUACAGAUGCUUCAAGGGACAACACAGGAUGUACAGGUUACCACUUUUAUCAUAGUCCUGAGUCUGUGGACUCAGUGGUUUUGGUUUUGAUUAUUGUCUUAUAUUUUAGGUUCAUUCUUGUUGGGAAUUUCUUGUUCUCAGGUUUUGUUUCUGUUUUGUAUUUCAAGCUCCUUUUGUUCUGUGUCUCUGUGUCUGCCCUGGUCCCACAUCUUUGUGUUGCCUCCCUGUUGCCAUGUCUUGUGUUAAGCUCGUGUCUGUGCAUACUUGUUGUGCUUCCUGUUUUUAUUCUGCAGGUUUCUGUCUCAUGUGAGUGUUCUCAGCUUUACGUCUGUGUCCCGUCAGCCCUGAUUUCUCCCAGGUGUGUUCCCCUCCUGUCUCCCAUCCUGUGAUUACUCCUGUGAGUAUUUAAGCCCUGUGUGUUCUCCUGCCUGUUGCUGGUAUGUCUGUGAUGUCUACCCUGAGUCUCCCUUCCUGUGGCCCUUCCUGUGGCCCUUCCUGUGGCCCUUCCUGUGGCCCUUCCUGUGGCCCUUCCUGUGGCCCUUCCUGUGGCCCUUCCUGUGGCCCUUCCUGUGUUCAUUUGCAUGUUACUCUGUGAGUUUUGGUUUCAGUUUCAUACAUUUAAGUUUUCCCAGUUUAGUUAUUUUUUAGUCCCUGUCCUCGCCAUCUCCACCUUAAAUAAACUUACUCCUCAUACCAACCUCUGCUUGCACUUGGGUCCUCACUUCACCUUCACACGGCCUGCCUCUCCUGCCGUGACAACCUUCUUAAAAAUAUUGUGAACCCUCCUAUACAUCCUGCGGUUUCUAGCCAAUAA